GUCCACGCCCUAAACGAUGGGUACUAGACGUCGGGAAGCUUGUCUUCUUGGUGUCGCAGCUAACGCAAUAAGUACCCCGCCUGGGGAGUACGGUCGCAAGAUUAAAACUCAAAGGAAUUGACGGGGCCCGCACAAGCGGUGGAGCAUGUGGUUCAAUUCGAUGCAACGCGAAAACCUUAACCUGCCCUUGACAUCUGGGGAAUCCUGCAGAGAUGCGGGAGUGCCGCAAGGAACCCCAAGACAGGUGCUGCAUUGCUGUCGU
rnacentral:rRNA from 1 species